rnacentral:rRNA from 1 species
GAUGAACGCUAGCGGCAGGCUUAAUACAUGCAAGUCAAGGGGGUAGCAAUACAACCGGCGCACGGGGUGAGUAACACGUACACAACAUACCAUAUACUGAGGUAUAGCUUCGGGAAACUGAAGGUAAUCCCUCAUAGUAUUGCGAAAAGGCAUCUUUUUACAAUUAAAGUUUCGACGGUAUAUGAUUGGUGUGCGUUUGAUUAGCUAGUUGGUAGGGUAACGGCCUACCAAGGCAACGAUCAAUAGCUGGCGUGAGAGCGCGACCAGCCACACUGGAACUGAGACACGGUCCAGACUCCUACGGGAGCAGCAGUAGGGAAUAUUGGACAAUGGGCGAAAGCCUGAUCCAGCCAUGCCGCGUGAUAGAUGAAGGCCCUCUGGGUUGUAAAUAUCUUUUAUCUGGGAAGAAAACUCUUCUAUUCUUAGAAGCUUGACGGUACCAGAGGAAUAAGCACCGGCUAACUCCGUGCCAGCAGCCGCGGUAAU